rnacentral:rRNA from 1 species
AACGAACGCUGGCGGCAUGCCUAACACAUGCAAGUCGAACGAGACCUUCGGGUCUAGUGGCGCACGGGUGCGUAACGCGUGGGAACCUGCCCUUAGGUUCGGAAUAACUCCCCGAAAGGGGUGCUAAUACCGGAUAAUGUCUUCGGACCAAAGAUUUAUCGCCUUUGGAUGGGCCCGCGUUGGAUUAGCUAGUUGGUAGGGUAAAAGCCUACCAAGGCGACGAUCCAUAGCUGGUCUGAGAGGAUGAUCAGCCACACUGGGACUGAGACACGGCCCAGACUCCAACGGGAGGCAGCAGUGGGGAAUAUUGGACAAUGGGCGAAAGCCUGAUCCAGCAAUGCCGCGUGAGUGAUGAAGGCCUUAGGGUUGUAAAGCUCUUUUACCCGGGAUGAUAAUGACAGUACCGGGAGAAUAAGCUCCGGCUAACUCCGU